rnacentral:rRNA from 1 species
CACCCAGUUAAUUGGCUGAAAGGUUUGUGGUAAGAAGCCUAAACAAAAUUUUGUUUUAGAACAUAAAUUUUGACCUCAAAUCAGGUAAGGAUACCCGCUGAACUUAAGCAUAUCAAUAAGCGGAGGAAAAGAAACCAACAGGGAUUGCCUUAGUAACGGCGAGUGAAGCGGCAAAAGCUCAAAUUUGAAAUCUAGUGCCUUUGGUACUCGAGUUGUAAUUUGAAGAAUUUUUCUCCGAACAGUCCUUUAUCUAUGUUCCUUGGAACAGGACGUCAUAGAGGGUGAGAAUCCCGUGUGAUUUUGGAUACUGUUCAUUGUGAGAUUUAUUCGAAGAGUCGAGUUGUUUGGGAAUGCAGCUCUAAGUGGGUGGUAAGUUCCAUCUAAAGCUAAAUAUUGGCGAGAGACCGAUAGCGAACAAGUACAGUGAUGGAAAGAUGAAAAGAACUCUGAAGAGAGGGUGAAAAAGUACGUGAAAUUGCUGAAAGGGAAGGGCUUUAGGUCAGACUUGGUGUUUAAUACUCAGUUCUCCUUGUGGGAGCUGCUCUUGUUUUUCACUGGGCCAAUAUCAGUUUUGGCGGUAGAGCACCUCUGGAAAUGUAGCUGCCUUCGGGUAGUGUUAUAGUCUGGGGACGAUCUACUGCUGGGACUGAGGUCUGCGCAUUUUGCUAGGAUAUUGGCAUAAUGACCUUAAGCCGCCCGUCUUGAAACACGGACCAAGGAGUCUAACGUCUAUGCGAGUGUUUGGGUGUAAAAC